CUUACUUUCUUUGCAUCUCUCAGUUAUUUUCAAUUUUGUGAGGAAUUGGACGUUAUCAGGAGUGUACUUUUCUAUAAGGAGUCUGUGGAAUUGCCUCUGGUGGAGGAAGGAUGCCCUCAAAUAUGGGGUCCAUACUGAAGCUAUUUGCAGCAAUCGUUGGGAUACUGAUUGGUGUCCAAACAGUCAGAGUAUCAGGUUCCUGUACCAUGAACUCGGAAUGCAACGGAGGAACUUGUAAUACAAAUAUGUGCAGCUGUCUUGCCGGAUUUACUGGUCCAAACUGUG